UACGGGGGGGGCAAGCGUUGUUCGGAAUUACUGGGCGUAAAGCGUGCGUAGGCGGUUUGUUAAGUCUGUCGUGAAAGCCCCGGGCUCAACCUGGGAAUGGCGAUGGAAACUGGCGAGCUAGAGUACGGUAGAGGAGAGUGGAAUUCCCGGUGUAGCAGUGAAAUGCGUAGAGAUCGGGAGGAACAUCAGUUGCGAAGGCGGCUCUCUGGAUCAGUACUGACGCUGAGGCACGAAAGCGUGGGGAGCAAACAGG
rnacentral:rRNA from 1 species